rnacentral:rRNA from 1 species
AUGCCGGAGGACGUCGAGAUGAACGACUCCGCCCAGCCCGCCCUCGCCGCCGCUCCUUUGGCCGCCGACGCGCCCGCACCCGCUCUCUUCACCAUGCAGCAUCUGAAGGAGAUCGCGUCCGUGGUCAAGGCGGGGUCGCUGACCAAGGAGGUCCGCCGGAUCUCCUGCGCCGUCCGCCUCACCGUCGCCCUCCGCCGCCGCCUCGCCGCCCCCGACGUCAUGGCCUUCCGCACCUUCGCGCUGCCCCCUUCCUCCGAGGCCUUCACCUGCCUCUCCCCGCUCCUCGCCAAGGAAGAUGGCAGUGAGAUGGUUGUUGAUGCUGCAGCUCCAGCGGCUCAAGUUUCAAUCAAGCAUGGACUCCCGGAGAUUUAA